GACGAACGCUGGCGGCGUGCUUAACACAUGCAAGUCGAACGGAAAGGCCCUGCUUUUGUGGGGUGCUCGAGUGGCGAACGGGUGAGUAACACGUGAGUAACCUGCCCUUGACUUUGGGAUAACUUCAGGAAACUGGGGCUAAUACCGGAUAGGAGCUCCUGCUGCAUGGUGGGGGUUGGAGAGUUUCGGCGGUUGGGGAUGGACUCGCGGCUUAUCAGCUUGUUGGUGGGGUAGUGGCUUACCAAGGCUUUGACGGGUAGCCGGCCUGAGAGGGUGACCGGCCACAUUGGGACUGAGAUCGGGCCCAGACUCCUACGGGAGGCAGCAGUGGGGAAUUUUGCACAAUGGGCGGAAGCCGGAUGCAGCAACGCCGCGUGCGGGAUGACGGCCUUCGGGUUGUAAACCGCUUUCGCCUGUGACGAAGCGUGAGUGACGGUAAUGGGUAAAGAAGCACCGGCUAACUACGUG
rnacentral:rRNA from 1 species